UGUGCAUUAUUUCAGACAGUACAGUAAAAACAUUGUCUUUGUGUUCUGAUGUUGAGAAAAGAACAGAACGUU